rnacentral:misc_RNA from 1 species
CUGCUUCUCUCUGCCAAACCGUCUCUCUUCUUCUUCUUUGUAAGCAUUUCGUCCUUUCUUUUAUUUUUAUACUUAUAUUCGUUGUAUAUGCAAAUAUUUUUUAUUGCAUGAACACUCUUUUCCCCCUUUCAAUGGAUAAAUCCUUAUACGUGUUUGUGUUUCUUUAGUUGUUGUUGUAAUGGGCGUGGACUUUUAGACCGUUUUGUGAGCGGGUUGUGUUUAAUUUUGCUGUGAAGUCCAUCUCUUUGAUGUAUAUCUUCUGGAUUCAGUUUUUAUUAUUAUUGUUAUUUGAUAUCUAUAGUUUUUAUUGUAGUGAUCAAUAUCAAUUAGUCGAAUUGCCAUUAUGUUUUCAUUUGGAUUCAAUCUGUACAUUGAUUUAUAUGCUGUUUAUCUCUGGAUGAGAAAUUUAUAAUUUGAACUUCAUGAAUCCUAUGUGGGAGAAUCGAAUUGUUCUAAUUUUGAGUCAUGGGCUUUAUAAGGGGGAAAAUGAUCUCAAUUCUUAAUGUAGAGUGUUUUCAUUGCCCUUGAACUUGAUGGCGUCUAUUUGAUGUUCUCUUUCACUUUCUUUUUUCCUCCAGUGUGUCCUCUCGUUGUUGAUUCGUUGAGUUUUGAUUGUAAACUCUGUGCGAUAUAUUUCCUUUUUUGACCGUAAAUCUGUGUGUGGUGUUGCAUUUGUUUAACUUCUUAAUGAUGGAGCUGCUAAACUUCUUGUUGAAAGGAUGGCUCUUUCUGGGGUUCAUAAAGACAGAGGAGAGUUGAGGAUUCAUGAAAGUUUGGAUGAGCUUGGCACUGAUUUGGCAGACUAUGUUGCAGAACUAUCUGAGGCAUCUGUGAAGGAGAGGGGAGUCUUUGCCAUUGCCUUAUCUGGUGGUUCUCUCAUUGGCUUAAUGGGGUAUCAAUCACUUCUUUUUUCAUUAUUCUUUUCAAAAUUUAUGUGAAGCUGCUGUUUUUGUUUAAACUUCUGGUGGCAACAGGAAACUUUGUGAAGCUCCUUAUAACAAGACUGUAGACUGGACUAAAUGGUACAUAUUUUGGGCAGAUGAGCGUGUGGUGGCAAAAAAUCAUGCUGAUAGUAACUAUAAGCUGGCAAAGGAUGGCCUUUUGUCUAAGGUGCCCAUUGUACCCAGUCACGUGCAUUCGAUCAAUGAUUCAUUAUCAGCAGAAGAAGCCGCGAAUGAGUAUGAGUUUGAUAUUCGACAAUUAGUGAAAACACGAACAAUCGGCGUAUCUGAUAUCAGUGACUGUCCCAAGUUUGACCUCAUCCUUCUUGGAAUGGGCCCUGAUGGUCAUGUUGCCUCAUUGUUUCCUAGCCAAUCUGUGCUUGAUGCAAACGAUGAAUGGGUAACUUUUAUUACUGAUUCCCCCAAGCCCCCACCUGAGAGGAUCACUUUCACUCUGCCUGUCAUAAACUCAGCAUCAAAUGUGGCAGUGGUUGUAGCAGGUGAGGACAAAGCAGAGGCAGUACACUUAGCAAUUGAUGAUGUGGUACCUGACUGCCCACCUCUGCCUGCUCGGAUGGUUCAGCCAACAAAAGGGAAGUUGGUGUGGUUUUUGGACAAAUCAGCUGCCUCAAAACUUGAUGGUUAUCAAUUUUCUGAGUAGGGUCAAAUUUUCAUAGCCAAUGAAUGUGUAUGUUUUGUAUGUAGCAGAGGGAUUCAACACCCUUGGAUCCUUUUCUCUUCUUCCAUCAGUUCCAAACUUUCCUUUCUUUUUUCUCCCUUUGGCUUUGGGUUAAAUUCUCCAUUUUGGCUUUUGAUCCUCUCUUCUUUAGAGGAGUUGGGGAAGUAUGAUUAUCCUUUUGUGUGAAGAAUAAAGUUGGGGCCUCGGUGCAAAAGCUGUUUUCUGGUACUGUUCACUUUGAGGAUUGUUUUUGAAACUUGGAUAGUAGUCUCAUGGGAGGUCAGCCCAUCGGAAUAUGGAAAACAGCCCUCCUUUUUUUUGGCUUUAUUAGUAGUCAGAAAAGUUUCAUGGAAUUUAGUAGGACUUCUCUGCAAACGACUUCAUACAUGUCCUCUAUUAGAAUAUACAAAUUUACAGAAAGUUUCUUCCAAUAGUUGUUUGCAUGGCAAUUGGCAUGCAUAUUAUCCAUUUGUCAUUGCAAAAUCAAAUUGUGAGGUUUAUGCCUCUGACCUCUGAUCUAUGGGUGCCCAGUGCUUUGUCAUGAACACUUUGAUUUACGUGUUUUGUUCCAUCCCCAUUACAAUAAAAAUACGGAUUAGCUACUG